rnacentral:rRNA from 1 species
GAUGAACGCUGGCGGCGUGCUUAACACAUGCAAGUCGAGCGAGUGAGUUCUUCGGAACGAUCUAGCGGCGGACGGGUGAGUAACACGUGGGCAACCUGCCUCAUAGAGGGGAAUAGCCUCCCGAAAGGGAGAUUAAUACCGCAUAACAUCGUUGAAGGGCAUCCUUCGAUGAUCAAAGGAGCAAUCCGCUAUGAGAUGGGCCCGCGGCGCAUUAGCCAGUUGGUGAGGUAACGGCUCACUAAGGCGACGAUGCGUAGCCGACCUGAGAGGGUGAUCGGCCACAUUGGGACUGAGACACGGCCCAGACUCCUACGGGAGGCAGCAGUGGGGAAUAUUGCACAAUGGGGGAAACCCUGAUGCAGCAAUGCCGCGUGAGUGAUGACGGCCUUCGGGUUGUAAAGCUCUGUCUUUGGGGACGAUAAUGACGGUACCCAAGGAGGAAGUCACGGCUAACUACGUGCCAGCCGCCGCCGUAA